rnacentral:misc_RNA from 1 species
UUCAUUACAAUUUAUGCCAUGUCCAAAUUUAGUAUGUACCACUACUUCCUAAAGAUAUCACAAUUUAAACUUUCCCAAUAUCCUAUUAGAUAUAUCCAAAAAUAUUCUUUUGCAUGAAAAGCUGUAGUUGCAGACAUGUCACACUGCAAAUAGUAACAAUGGACUUCUUAUAUUUAUGCAAUCAAUAACAAAUCAGCUCUAACAGAGAAAAGGAAUGCCAGUCAUUGUGUCAUGGCAGAUCAUUCUAAGAUAUAAACCAACAAAAUUAGCCUAUGCAAUAUGCAGAAGUUAAUAUGAUAAUUCCAAGCAUUUGCCUAUGAAAGUAAAAGUUAAAUGAAGCACACUACUGUAGAAAAUUAAAAGCACGCAAGUCAAAUAACCUCUAAAUUUAUCAUAUAUAUAUAUAUAUAAAAGAGAGGAAAAAAAGAGUGGGACUCUGUUUCGUGAUUUCAUGCCAUUAAUUUGAUCAAAAUGUUGACAGUUCAAACAUUAUGAUCGUCUAUGUCAGCCAAAUAAUUAGAAAUGUUUUUAAAAAGUUGUAUCAUACCCGAAUUCUG